CCUACGGGUGGCAGCAGUCGAGAAUCAUUCACAAUGGGGGAAACCCUGAUGGUGCGACGCCGCGUGGGGGAAUGAAGGUCUUCGGAUUGUAAACCCCUGUCAUGUGGGAGCAAAUUAAAAAGAUAGUACCACAAGAGGAAGAGACGGCUAACUCUGUGCCAGCAGCCGCGGUAAUACAGAGGUCUCAAGCGUUGUUCGGAAUCACUGGGCGUAAGGCGUGCGUAGGCUGUUUCGUAAGUCGGGUGUGAAAGGCGCGGGCUCAACCCGCGGACGGCACAUGAUACUGCGAGACUAGAGUAAUGGAGGGGGAACCGGAAUUCUCGGUGUAGCAGUGAAAUGCGUAGAUAUCGAGAGGAACACUCGUGGCGAAGGCGGGUUCCUGGACAUUAACUGACGCUGAGGCACGAAGGCCAGGGGAGCGAAAGGGAUUAGAUACCCUGGUAGUC
rnacentral:rRNA from 1 species